rnacentral:rRNA from 1 species
CCUACGGGGGGCAGCAGUCGAGAAUCAUUCACAAUGGGGGAAACCCUGAUGGUGCGACGCCGCGUGGGGGAAUGAAGGUCUUCGGAUUGUAAACCCCUGUCAUGUGGGAGCAAAUUAAAAAGAUAGUACCACAAGAGGAAGAGACGGCUAACUCUGUGCCAGCAGCCGCGGGAAUACAGCGGUCUCAAGCGUUGUUCGGAAUCACUGGGCGUAAAGCGUGCGUAGGCUGUUUCGUAAGUCGUGUGUGAAAGGCGCGGGCUCAACCCGCGGACGGCACAUGAUACUGGGAGACUAGAGUAAUGGAGGGGGAAGCGGAAUUCUCGGUGUAGCAGUGAAAUGCGUAGAUAUCGAGAGGAACACUCGUGGCGAAGGCGGGUUCCUGGACAUUAACUGACGCUGAGGCACGAAGGCCAGGGGAGCGAAAGGGAUUAGAUACCCGUGUAGUC